UGGGGAAUAUUGGACAAUGGGCGAAAGCCUGAUCCAGCCAUGCCGCGUGCAGGAAGAAGGCGUUAUGCGUUGUAAACUGCUUUUUGCCAGGGGAUAAAAUGACCGUGCGCGGUUAAUUGAAGGUACCUGGUGAAUAAGCCACGGCUAACUACGUGCCAGCAGCCGCGGUAAUACGUAGGUGGCAAGCGUUGUCCGGAUUUAUUGGGUUUAAAGGGUGCGUAGGUGGCCCUGUAAGUCAGUGGUGAAAUAUCUCAGCUUAACUGAGAGGGUGCCAUUGAUACUGCAGGGCUCGAGUACAGAUGAGGUAGGCGGAAUUGACGGUGUAGCGGUGAAAUGCAUAGAUAUCGUCAAGAACACCGAUAGCGAAGGCAGCUUACCAAGCUGUAACUGACACUGAGGCACGAAAGUGUGGGGAUCAAACAGGAUUAGAUACCCUUGUAGUCCCUGAGCGGGCUGGCAAGGCGCAU
rnacentral:rRNA from 1 species